rnacentral:rRNA from 1 species
ACCCUUUAAUGUUUGAUGUUCUAACGUGGACCCGUGAUCCGGGUUGCGGACAGUGUCUGGUGGGUAGUUUGACUGGGGCGGUCUCCUCCUAAAGAGUAACGGAGGAGCACGAAGGUUGGCUAAUCCUGGUCGGACAUCAGGAGGUUAGUGCAAUGGCAUAAGCCAGCUUGACUGCGAGCGUGACGGCGCGAGCAGGUGCGAAAGCAGGUCAUAGUGAUCCGGUGGUUCUGAAUGGAAGGGCCAUCGCUCAACGGAUAAAAGGUACUCCGGGGAUAACAGGCUGAUACCGCCCAAGAGUUCAUAUCGACGGCGGUGUUUGGCACCUCGAUGUCGGCUCAUCACAUCCUGGGGCUGAAGUAGGUCCCAAGGGUAUGGCUGUUCGCCAUUUAAAGUGGUACGCGAGCUGGGUUUAGAACGUCGUGAGACAGUUCGGUCCCUAUCUGCCGUGGGCGCUGGAGAACUGAGGGGGGCUGCUCCUAGUACGAGAGGACCGGAGUGGACGCAUCACUGGUGUUCGGGUUGUCAUGCCAAUGGCACUGCCCGGUAGCUAAAUGCGGAAGAGAUAAGUGCUGAAAGCAUCUAAGCACGAAACUUGCCCCGAGAUGAGUUCUCCCUGAGACUUAAAGUCUCCUGAAGGAACGUUGAAGACGACGACGUUGAUAGGCCGGGUGUGUAAGCGCAGCGAUGCGUUGAGCUAACCGGUACUAAUGAACCGUGAGGCUUAACCUUACAACGCCG